CUACGGGUGGCUCCAGGCGAGAAAACUUUGCAAUGUGCGAAAGCACGACAAGGUUAAUCCGAGUGGUUUCUGCUAAAGGAACCUUUUGACAGUCCUAGAAACACUGUUGAAUAAGGGGUGGGCAAGUUCUGGUGUCAGCCGCCGCGGUAAAACCAGCACCUCAAGUGGUCAGGAUGAUUAUUGGGCCUAAAGCAUCCGUAGCCGGCUCUGUAAGUUUUCGGUAAAAUCUGUACGCUCAACGUACAGGCUGCCGGGAAUACUGCAGAGCUAGGGAGUGGGAGAGGUAGACGGUACUCGGUAGGAAGGGGUAAAAUCCUUUGAUCUAUUGAUGACCACCUGUGGCGAAGGCGGUCUACCAGAACACGUCCGACGGUGAGGGAUGAAAGCUGGGGGAGCAAACCGGAUUAGAUACCCUUGUAGUC
rnacentral:rRNA from 1 species